rnacentral:rRNA from 1 species
GACGAACGCUGGCGGCGUGCUUAACACAUGCAAGUCGAAGGGAAAGGCCCCUUUGGGGGUACUGGGGUGGCGAACGGGUGAGUAAAACGUGGGUAACCUGCCCUUGACUUCGGGAUAACUUCAGGAAACUGGGGCUAAUACCGGAUAGGAAUCCUUGCGGAAUGGGGGGGGUUGGAAAGCUUCGGCGGUUUUGGAGGGACUCGCGGCUUAUCAGCUUGUUGGUGGGGUAGUGGCUUACCAAGGCUUUGACGGGUAGCCGGCCUGAGAGGGCGACCGGCCACAUUGGGACUGAGAUACGGCCCAGACUCCUACGGGAGGCAGCAGUGGGGAAUAUUGCACAAUGGGCGGAAGCCUGAUGCAGCAACGCCGCGUGCGGGAUGACGGCCUUCGGGUUGUAAACCGCUUUCAGCAGGGGCGAAGCUUGUGGUGACGGUACCUGCAGAAGAAGCACCGGCUAACUACGUG